rnacentral:rRNA from 1 species
GAUGAACGCNGGCUACAGGCUUAACACAUGCAAGUCGUGGGGAAACGGCAUUAUGUGCUUGCACAUUCUGGACGUCGACCGGCGCACGGGUGAGUAUCGCGUAUCCAACCUGCCCCUUACUUGGGGAUACCCCGUUGAAAGACGGCCUAAUACCCGAUGUGUUUCAUUGACGGCAUCCGAUAUGAAACAAAGGUUUUCCGGUAAGGGAUGGGGAUGCGUCUGAUUAGCUAGUUGGCGGGGCAACGGCCCACCAAGGCGACGAUCAGUAGGGGUUCUGAGAGGAAGGUCCCCCACAUUGGAACUGGGACACGGUCCAAACUCCUACGGGAGGCAGCAGUGAGGAAUAUUGGUCAAUGGACGCAAGUCUGAACCAGCCAAGUAGCGUGCAGGAUGACGGCCCUAUGGGUUGUAAACUGCUUUUAUGUGGGAAUAAAUUGGCGCACGUGUGCGCCAUUGCAUGUACCUCAUGAAUAAGGACCGGCUAAUUCCGUGCCAGCAGCCGCGGUAAUACGGAAGGUCCGGGCGUUAUCCGGAUUUAUUGGGUUUAAAGGGAGUGUAGGCGGUCUGUUAAGCGUGUUGUGAAAUUUAGGUGCUCAACAUUUAACUUGCAGCGCGAACUGUCAGACUUGAGUACACGCAGCGCAGGCGGAAUUCAUGGUGUAGCGGUGAAAUGCUUAGAUAUCAUGAGGAACUCCGAUCGCGAAGGCAGCCUGCGGGAGUGUUACUGACGCUUAAGCUCGAAGGUGCGGGUAUCGAACAGG